AACGAAGAUUAAUACCCCAUAGUAUUGUUAAGUGGCAUCGUUUAACAAUUAAAACUGAGGUGGUAUAAGAUGACUAUGCGUCCUAUUAGCUAGUUGGUAUGGUAACGGCAUACCAAGGCUACGAUAGGUAGGGGUCCUGAGAGGGAGAUCCCCCACACUGGUACUGAGACACGGACCAGACUCCUACGGGAGGCAGCAGUGAGGAAUAUUGGACAAUGGUCGGAAGACUGAUCCAGCCAUGCCGCGUGCAGGAAGACUGCCCUAUGGGUUGUAAACUGCUUUUAUACAGGAAGAAUAAGGAGCUCGUGAGCUCUGAUGACGGUACUGUAAGAAUAAGCACCGGCUAACUCCGUGCCAGCAGCCGCGGUAAUACGGAGGGUGCAAGCGUUAUCCGGAAUCAUUGGGUUUAAAGGGUCCGUAGGCGGGUAUAUAAGUCAGUGGUGAAAGUCUGCAGCUUAACUGUAGAAUUGCCAUUGAUACUGUAGAUCUUGAAUCGUUGUGAAGUGGUUAGAAUAUGUAGUGUAGCGGUGAAAUGCUUAGAGAUUACAUAGAAUACCGAUUGCGAAGGCAGAUCACUAACAACGUAUUGACGCUGAUGGACGAAAGCGUAGGUAGCGAACGGGAUUAGAUACCCCGGUAGUCUACGCCGUAAACGAUGGAUACUAGUUGUUUGGUUUUCGGACUGAGUGACUAAGCGAAAGUGAUAAGU
rnacentral:rRNA from 1 species